rnacentral:rRNA from 1 species
CAGCAGCCGCGGUAAUACGUAGGUGGCAAGCGUUGUCCGGAAUUAUUGGGCGUAAAGGGCUCGCAGGCGGUUUCUUAAAUCUGAUGUGAAAGCCCCCGGCUCAACCGGGGAGGGUCAUUGGAAACUGGGAAACUUGAGUGCAGAAGAGGAGAGUGGAAUUCCACGUGUAGCGGUGAAAUGCGUAGAGAUGUGGAGGAACACCAGUGGCGAAGGCGACUCUCUGGUCUGUAACUGACGCUGAGGAGCGAAAGCGUGGGGAGCGAACAGGAUUAGAUACCCCAGUAGUCCCUGUCUCUUAUCC